AACCUCAUCAACUGGAAGGAAUCCCUUCCGGUUGAUGAGGUGUAACAACCUCAUCAACCGGAAGGAAUCCCUUCCGGUUGAUGAGUGUAACAACCCAUCGGAAGGAAUCCCUUCCGGUUGAUGAGGUGUAACAACCUCAUCAACCGGAAGGAAUCCCUUCUGGUUGAUGAGGUG
rnacentral:miRNA from 1 species